GCGCUUGAUAAGCGUGAGGUCGGAAGUUCAAGUCUUCCCAGGCCCACCACUUUCAUCGAGUGAGCAUUCGUCUUCUGGUUACGGGGCCAUAGCUCAGCUGGGAGAGCGCGUGCUUUGCAAGCAUGAGGUCGUCGGUUCGAUCCCGUCUGGCUCCACCAGAUGGUUUGAUCACCAACGACAUGAUGACCGUCGUCCGCGAAACAUCACUUCGCACUUGCUAGUCCGGAUGGACAGUAAGCUGCGUGAUUUCUGACAUCGUAAAGAGGAGAUCGAUCCGAGUUGGAUCGUGCAGAAGAUUUCUGCGCGAUACUUCAUUAUCUCCGGAUCAUUUCGGCGCUUGCUUCGCCCUUCAAGGUCAAACUUGAAAGACGAUGCAAGUUGUAAAUGAUCCUUUUAGCGAAGCUUGACCGCCUCGCUAUCGGAACGAUCUUACGAAGCAAGCUGGUCUUUCUAGUCAAUGUCCGGCUGCAGAUAGCGUUCAUCGAGGGCGCGUGCCGCAAGGUAAUUCUGCAGACAACAUUCUGCCGAGUGUGUGGACAUUGAUAAUGAGAGCAAUCAAGUGCCUUAAGGGUGUUCGGUGGAUGCCUUGGCGCUGAGAGGCGAUGAAGGACGUGCUACGCUGCGAUAAGCCGUGGGGAGCUGCG
rnacentral:misc_RNA from 1 species